rnacentral:rRNA from 1 species
UACGUAGGGAGCUAGCGUUGUCCGGAAUCAUUGGGCGUAAAGAGCGCGCAGGCGGCUGGUCAAGUCCGAUGUGAAAGCUCCCGGCUUAACUGGGAAAUUGCAUCGGAAACUGAUCGGCUGGAAGGUGGGAGAGGGUAGCGGAAUUCCCGGUGUAGUGGUGAAAUGCGUAGAUAUCGGGAGGAACACCAGCGGCGAAAGCGGCUACCUGGCCCAUUCUUGACGCUGAGGCGCGAAAGCUAGGGGAGCAAACGGG